GGCAGCACCGGCACCGCGGCUCCGAACCGGCUCCGAGGCCGAAGCCCGGGGUUUUAAACGGGGAACGGCACCGGCCCCGCAGACCGGAGCUUUCAAGGGCAGGGGCACCGAACCCGCACCCUGUGGUUUUUAAAUUCGGAAUGACCCCGAGCCUCUCGGCAUUCGAAAAGGGGUUUGAGUCAAACGUUGAGCUUUUUUAGAAGCUGUUAAUGGGUAGCGGGAGCGGGGCAUCUCUGGAAAUAGUGCAGUUUGAUUGUGGACGGGGUCUUCGGGGGAAGCUCCCUGCAUUGUGCAAACUGGAAUAGAACACAGAAAUCCCUUCAGGGUGGUGUAAGAAUUGGAGGCAGCAGGAGGCUGUGGUGGACACAACACAGACCCCACUGAAGAAAGAAGAGGCUGAGCACAGCGAAGCUUUUUUCAAAAUCAGUAAAACUUUAUUCUAUUUCCAUUCUUUGCCAUUAACAGAAAAAAAAAAAUUGGAGAAAGCAAUG